CCAGACUCCUACGGGAGGCAGCAGUAGGGAAUCUUCGGCAAUGGACGGAAGUCUGACCGAGCAACGCCGCGUGAGUGAAGAAGGUUUUCGGAUCGUAAAGCUCUGUUGUAAGAGAAGAACGAGUGUGAGAGUGGAAAGUUCACACUGUGACGGUAUCUUACCAGAAAGGGACGGCUAACUACGUGCCAGCAGCCGCGGUAAUACGUAGGUCCCGAGCGUUGUCCGGAUUUAUUGGGCGUAAAGCGAGCGCAGGCGGUUAGAUAAGUUUGAAGUUAAAGGCUGUGGCUUAACCAUAGUACGCUUUGGAAACUGUUUAACUUGAGUGCAAGAGGGGAGAGUGGAAUUCCAUGUGUAGCGGUGAAAUGCGUAGAUAUAUGGAGGAACACCGGUGGCGAAAGCGGCUCUCUGGCUUGUAACUGACGCUGAGGCUCGAAAGCGUGGGGAGCAAACAGGAUUAGAUACCCUGGCAGUCCACGCCGUAAACGAUGAGUGCUAGGUGUUAGACCC
rnacentral:rRNA from 1 species